AGUAUGAGAUGAACUUGAAACUUAAGGUACUUGGCGGUUUUUUAGGCCAGUUAGAGGAACCUGUUCUUUAAUCGAUAAUCCUCGUAGGUUUUUACUUUUUUUUUAAAUAUCGCCGUCGACGACAGGUCAAGAUUUAGCUAGUGGGAAAGGUUGAAAAAGGAUUUAAAAGUUAAAGGAGUUAAUUUGGGCUCUAAAAAAAGU
rnacentral:rRNA from 1 species